rnacentral:rRNA from 1 species
UACGUAGGGUGCGAGCGUUAAUCGGAAUUACUGGGCGUAAAGCGUGCGUAGACGGUUAUCUAAGUCAGAUGUGAAAGCCCCGGGCUCAACCUGGGAAUUGCAUUUGAGACUGAAUAGCUAGGGUGCGGUAGAGGGAAGCGGAACUUCCGGUGUAGCGGUGAAAUGCGUAGAUAUCGGAAGGAACAUCAGUGGCGAAAGCGGCUUCCUGGACCAGCACCGACGUUCAGGCACGAAAGCGUGGGGAGCAAACAGG